AUAGGGGUUUGAUCAUGGCUCAGAUUGAACGCUGGCGGCAUGCUUUACACAUGCAAGUCGAGCGGCAGCGCGGGACUCGGGCAACCGAGCCCUGGCGGCGAGCGGCGAACGGGUGAGUAAUGCAUCGGAACGUACCCAGUCGUGGGGGAUAACUAUCCGAAAGGAUAGCUAAUACCGCAAACGUCCUGAGGGAGAAAGCGGGGGACCGUAAGGCCUCGCGCGAUUGGAGCGGCCGAUGUUCGAUUAGCUAGUUGGUGAGGUAAAGGCUCACCAAGGCGACGAUCGAUAGCUGGUCUGAGAGGAUGAUCAGCCACACUGGAACUGAGACACGGUCCAGACUCCUACGGGAGGCAGCAGUGGGGAAUUUUGGACAAUGGGGGCAACCCUGAUCCAGCCAUUCCGCGUGAGUGAAGAAGGCCUUCGGGUUGUAAAGCUCUUUCGGCAGGAACGAAACGGUGAUCAUUAAUACUGGUUGCUAAUGACGGUACCUGAAGAAGAAGCACCGGCUAACUACGUGCCAGCAGCCGCGGUAAUACGUAGGGUGCGAGCGUUAAUCGGAAUUACUGGGCGUAAAGCGUGCGCAGGCGGUUUCGUAAGACAGCUGUGAAAUCCCCGGGCUUAACCUGGGAACUGCGGUUGUGACUGCGAGACUAGAGUCAGGCAGAGGGGGGUGGAAUUCCACGUGUAGCAGUGAAAUGCGUAGGGAUGUGGAGGAACACCGAUGGCGAAAGCAGCCCCCUGGGCUAUGACUGACGCUCAUGCACGAAAGCGUGGGAGCAAACA
rnacentral:rRNA from 1 species